UUUUAAGCUAAAUGAUCAGCAAAACAAGCCAGCCUAUCUAUCUAUUCGCAAUCUACGCGUGCGUUUCGAAAAUCGUUUUUGAAACCCCAGGUGCACGUCUGUAUACUGUUGACAAUGAACAAACCACCGAUCGACAGAAAGAGGCAAGCGAUGAACGGGAGGGGCGAAAAUACAAAGGCAGAAACAGAAAUGCUGAGCGGAGUACGGAGGAAGGGAGUCUGCGGAAAGAACUAGGCAGCUAUCACACGGACAAAGCGCCGGCUUGAAUCACGACCUUAACUAAAAAACGUUCGACAAACCUUAAAGGAGCCGCCACUUUCAAAAAAAAACUCUAUAAAAAUAACAAUCCAAGGUACUCAUCCCCUAUAAACAGGGAACUUCUUGAUUCUGAACGUUUACUCCCCGUACCUACUGCACGCACUCUAUACGCAACUGGGUAAGUGGACUCCCUGCACGAAGCCAUGAAAAUUCAGUACUUACUCAAGUCCAACUAUCUAGAAUGCGCCACGUAUAUUGGGAGUCUCUAUGACUGCCCUUGUUGCCGCCGUGAAUGUUAUUGUUAACUAAUUUUUAAGCAGCUGCAUGCAGCGAUGAAUUUCUGUUCAGUUCAGCUUAAAAGAAAAAGAUAGAAAAGGGACGCCAAUAAAAAAGGAUGCGCCCUUUUUGUGCCUUAUAUCUAAAUCGGGACAAAUGUACGGCAUGCCCAAGGGUGGCUCUAUUACACAGGCCGUAACGUAAUUUGCUUCAAUGGCUAGUGCCUAUAAAUUGAUCCAAAUUUUGCAAAGCAAUACUCUGGUUUUGUUAGCUAGGUUCAAUAGUUAACCACUUGUUGGAUUUGCGUCUGGAAGACAUCUUGCAGGAACUUUCCUAUCCGAGUGUUCUUCUGUUUAUUUGGAUGGAAACGCAAUUAUACUUACUGACAAUUGAAUUUUGUACAUGAAUCCCUAUAUAUAUAUAUAUAGAGUUGCUUCAGCAGACUCAUGUAUGGGGCGUGACCUCUCUUCGCAAAAACAUACGGUAGUUCAAGUGUACCUACUUCAACUAUACGUACGGAUGUGUGCCUAUGGAUUCUAACAGUUCACAGCUGGAGUUCGGCCCACAAUGGAAGAUGAGGCAAGGAUCGUAGCACACGCCCCCUUUAACGUCACACACAGCCG